GGGAGUACGGUCGCAAGACUGAAAACUCAAAGGAAUUGACGGGGGCCCGCACAAGCGGUGGAGCAUGUGGUUUAAUUUGAAGCAACGCGAAGAACCUUACCAGGUCUUGACAUCCUAUGACAAUCCUAGAGAUAGGACGUCCCCUUCGGGGGCAGAGUGACAGGUGGUGCAUGGUUGUCGUCAGCUCGUGUCGUGAGAUGUUGGGUUAAGUCCCGCAACGAGCGCAACCCUUGAUCUUAGUUGCCAGCAUUCAGUUGGGCACUCUAAGGUGACUGCCGGUGACAAACCGGAGGAAGGUGGGGAUGACGUCAAAUCAUCAUGCCCCUUAUGACCUGGGCUACACACGUGCUACAAUGGACAGAACAAAGGGCAGCGAAACCGCGAGGUUAAGCCAAUCCCACAAAUCUGUUCUCAGUUCGGAUCGCAGUCUGCAACUCGACUGCGUGAAGCUGGAAUCGCUAGUAAUCGCGGAUCAGCAUGCCGCGGUGAAUACGUUCCCGGGCCUUGUACACACCGCCCGUCACACCACGAGAGUUUGUAACACCCGAAGUCGGUGAGGUAACC
rnacentral:rRNA from 1 species